AACGAACGCUGGCGGCAUGCCUAACACAUGCAAGUCGAACGAGACCUUCGGGUCUAGUGGCGCACGGGUGCGUAACGCGUGGGAACCUGCCCUUAGGUUCGGAAUAACUCCCCGAAAGGGGUGCUAAUACCGGAUAAUGUCUUCGGACCAAAGAUUUAUCGCCUUUGGAUGGGCCCGCGUUGGAUUAGCUAGUUGGUAGGGUAAAAGCCUACCAAGGCGACGAUCCAUAGCUGGUCUGAGAGGAUGAUCAGCCACACUGGGACUGAGACACGGCCCAGACCCCUCGGGGAGGCAGAGGGGGGGAAUAUGGGAAAAGGGGGGAAAGCCUGACCAACCAAGGCCGGGUGAGUGAGAAAGGCCUUGGGGUUGAAAAGCUUUUUUACCCGGGAUGAAAAGGACAGUCCGGGAAAAAAAAGCCCCGGCUACCCCCGUG
rnacentral:rRNA from 1 species